UACGUAGGCAGCAAACGUUGUUCGGAAUUACUGGGCGUAAAGAGUGUGUAGGCGGUUCUGUAAGUUCUGUGUGAAAUCUCCCGGCUUAACUGGGAGGGUGCGCCGAAAACUGCAGGGCUUGAGUACUGGAGAGGAUAGCGGAAUUCCUGGUGUAGCGGUGAAAUGCGUAGAUAUCAGGAGGAACACCGGCGGUGUAGACGGCUGUCUGGACAGUAACUGACGCUGAAACACGAAAGCGUGGGGAGCAAACAGG
rnacentral:rRNA from 1 species